AUUUUCUCUACAAACCCAAAACCCUAUCCCUCUCUCAAAUUUCAACAUCUCCUCGUUGGGAAAAAAUAGUGGCAGUCUCGGAUUACUCAGCAAAGGCGAGGCGAGGAGUGUAUGCUAGCAUGUUCCGUUACGAUUCGAGGUCCUUAUCAUUGCCGAGAAGUGGGUUUUGGCCUCCGUUUGGGCUUAAAUGGAGAACUUGGAAGAAUCAUUUAAAAAUAAGGUAUUGGGCUGACGUACCUAUCGAGCAUUUAAUACAUGACAGAGAUCGAUAGAGUUUUUGAAGAUCAAUGGAUCAACUUUCUUGCUUAUUGGAGAACAGAAAAUGCAAAGGGCACGUUGAAGAGGGACUUAUUCUUUUGAUAAAUAGAGAAGAGGCUCACGUAUAUAAAGAGAGAAGCAUUUUACCUACAAAUAUGUUAUGCUCUUUAUAUUAGAUUAGACUUUAAAAUUUGUACUAGUACUCACUUAGUUUAAGAAGAAAAUGAAUUGACAUUUCAUGUUGUUUGGAAUGCAUGGUUAGAGUUAGAGUUUCGUGUAAUACCAUUGAAUAUUUUGGAUUUUUAUACAUUCAAAUUUUGUGGAGUAUUACACAAA